GGGGGAGACAGCGAUGGGGAGACGGAGUUUAUGAUUAUGUUUUUAUUUUGAUUUUGUUUUUAUUUUGAUUUUGUUUUUAUUUUCUUUAUGAGUUUCUAAACUCUUUUUCUAGUCAAAAUAAAUUUUGAAGUUUGAUCUAUAAAUUUUGUGAGAUCAAAUUGUUCUUAAUCCUUUCUUCAUUCUUUAGUAUUUGUAUGUCUUCUGGUUGAAUUACAAUUGUUCAAGUUUGUUAAAUAUUUGGU
rnacentral:lncRNA from 1 species